rnacentral:rRNA from 1 species
CCCCGGGCUCAACCUGGGAACUGCAUUCGAAACUGGCAGGCUUGAGUCUUGUAGAGGGGGGUAGAAUUCCAGGUGUAGCGGUGAAAUGCGUAGAGAUCUGGAGGAAUACCGGUGGCGAAGGCGGCCCCCUGGACAAAGACUGACGCUCAGGUGCGAAAGCGUGGGGAGCAAACAGGAUUAGAUACCCUGGUAGUCCACGCCGUAAACGAUGUCUACUUGGAGGUUGUGCCCUUGAGGCGUGGCUUCCGGAGCUAACGCGUUAAGUAGACCGCCUGGGGAGUACGGCCGCAAGGUUAAAACUCAAAUGAAUUGACGGGGGCCCGCACAAGCGGUGGAGCAUGUGGUUUAAUUCGAUGCAACGCGAAGAACCUUACCUGGUCUUGACAUCCACGGAAGUUUUCAGAGAUGAGAAUGUGCCUUCGGGAACCGUGAGACAGGUGCUGCAUGGCUGUCGUCAGCUCGUGUUGUGAAAUGUUGGGUUAAGUCCCGCAACGAGCGCAACCCUUAUCCUUUGUUGCCAGCGGUC